rnacentral:sRNA from 1 species
AUUUGAUAGCAUUUAAAUUAUGCAUAUGCUAUCGAUAAACAAAAUAUUGAAGCGGGAGACAAACUACAUUUUGCCGCUCAACAUAAAAU